GAUGAACGCUGGCGGCGUGCCUAAUACAUGCAAGUCGAGCGAACGGACGAGAAGCUUGCUUCUCUGAUGUUAGCGGCGGACGGGUGAGUAACACGUGGAUAACCUACCUAUAAGACUGGGAUAACUUCGGGAAACCGGAGCUAAUACCGGAUAAUAUUUUGAACCGCAUGGUUCAAAAGUAAAAGACGGUCUUGCUGUCACUUAUAGAUGGAUCCGCGCUGCAUUAGCUAGUUGGUAAGGUAACGGCUUACCAAGGCAACGAUGCAUAGCCGACCUGAGAGGGUGAUCGGCCACACUGGAACUGAGACACGGUCCAGACUCCUACGGGAGGCAGCAGUAGGGAAUCUUCCGCAAUGGGCGAAAGCCUGACGGAGCAACGCCGCGUGAGUGAUGAAGGUCUUCGGAUCGUAAAACUCUGUUAUUAGGGAAGAACAUAUGUGUAAGUAACUGUGCACAUCUUGACGGUUCCUAAUCAGAAAGCCACGGCUAACUACGUG
rnacentral:rRNA from 1 species